UGUAUAUAUAGGGAGUGACUGUGUGCAGGGUAUGGGGAGAUAUUACAGGGAGGAUAUUACAGUAGUAGUGGAUACAGGACACUGACCCCCGGCGGUGUAUGACUGUGUGUAUAUAUAGGGAGUGACUGUGUGCUGGGUAUGGGGAGAUAUUACAGUAGUAGUGGAUACAGGACACUGACCCCCGGCGGUGUAUGACUGUGUAUAUAUA